rnacentral:rRNA from 1 species
AAUCAACGCUGGCGGCGUGCCUCAGACAUGCAAGUCGAACGCGAAAGCCCCCUUCGGGGGGCAAGUAGAGUGGCGCACGGGUGAGUAACACGUAGGUAAUCUACCUUUGGAUGGGGGAAUAACCACCGGAAACGGUGGCUAAUACCGCAUAAUGCAGCGGCACCUAAUGGUGACAGUUGUUAAAGCGGGGGAUCGCAAGACCUCGCGUCUAAAGAGGAGCCUGCGGCGGAUUAGCUAGUUGGUAAGGUAACGGCUUACCAAGGCGAUGAUCCGUAGCCGGCCUGAGAGGGCGGUCGGCCACACUGACACUGACAUACGGGUCAGACUCCUACGGGAGGCAGCAGUCGGGAAUUUUGGGCAAUGGGCGAAAGCCUGACCCAGCAACGCCGCGUGAAGGAUGAAAUCCUUCGGGAUGUAAACUUCGCAAGAACGGGAAGAAUAAGCCGGUGUCAACACCACCGGCGAUGACGGUACUGUUUGUAAGCUCCGGCUAACUCCGUGCCAGCAGCCGCGGUAAUAC